GAAAGGUUCUUAUAGGACGAAAGCGGUAUUAUAAAGAGCACUGCAGUAAGUCAGAGAUUUUGAAUUGCCGAUAUGUGUCUACAUGUAUUACAUGGUAAUUUGGCGUAUUUAUAACUUGUACUAGUAUACCGUUCUGUUGUUCUGGCUCUCAGUUUCUCAAUUUUCUCUACGUUCAAAGAUCAAACCGACUCCGAGGAUGAAGACUGGGAACAUAUGUACUGGUUUGGCUUGCCUGAUAGCAAACAUUCACUGUAGUUGCCGAGUGAUAAAACCAAUAGAUUGCAUUUUCAAUGGGGAAAUAGUCAACGAUGGCUCUACGUUCCCAGGUGCAGAUGAGUGUGAAAUAUGCAGCUGUUAUGACGGAGAGAUUUCCUGUUGCAUGUAAGGGGUGACAAUGACUUUUGAUACAAUAAAAUCACCUGACUUGAUGUAACUUAAUUUAAACAACCACGUUUUGUUUUCUAUCAAAGAAAACAUUUUCUUGUCACUUCUUG